rnacentral:rRNA from 1 species
CCUACGGGAGGCAGCAGUGAGGAAUAUUGGUCAAUGGACGAGAGUCUGAACCAGCCAAGUAGCGUGAAGGAUGACUGCCCUAUGGGUUGUAAACUUUUUUUAUAUGGGAAUAAAAUGUUCCACGUGUGGGAUUUUGUAUGUACCAUAUGAAUAAGGAUCGGCUAACUCCGUGCCAGCAGCCGCGGUAAUACGGAGGGUCCGAGCGUUAUCCGGAUUUAUUGGGUUUAAAGGGAGCGUAGGUGGAUUGUUAAGUCAGUUGUGAAAGUUUGCGGCUCAACCGUAAAAUUGCAGUUGAAACUGGCAGUCUAGAGUACAGUAGAGGUGGGCGGAAUUCGUGGUGUAGCGGUGAAAUGCUUAGAUAUCACGAAGAACUCCGAUUGCGAAGGCAGCUCACUGGACUGCAACUGACACUGAGGCUCGAAAGUGUGGGUAUCAAACAGGAUUAGAUACCCUGGUAGUC